rnacentral:rRNA from 1 species
UGGGGAAUAUUGGACAAUGGGGGCAACCCUGAUCCAGCAAUGCCGCGUGAGUGAAGAAGGCCUUCGGGUUGUAAAGCUCUUUUACCAGGGACGAUAAUGACGGUACCUGGGGAAUAAGCUCCGGCUAACUUCGUGCCAGCAGCCGCGGUAAUACGAAGGGAGCUAGCGUUGUUCGGAAUUACUGGGCGUAAAGGGCGCGUAGGCGGUUGGAUACGUCUGAUGUGAAAGACCUGGGCUUAACCUGGGAAGUGCAUUGGAUACGGUCUGACUGGAGUGCGAGAGAGGAUUGUGGAAUUGCGCAUGUAGAGGUGAAAUUCGUAGAUAUGCGCAAGAACACCAGAGGCGAAGGCGACAAUCUGGCUCGCAACUGACGCUAAGGCGCGAAAGCGUGGGGAGCAAA